GCGAUGGUAGCGGAUAUCCUUUUGUAAUUGGCGCUUGGGCUCAGCUCAGCGACCUAUCCACUCCAACGCCAAUUACAAAAGAUAGUAGCGAACGUAGCGACCCGCU
rnacentral:misc_RNA from 1 species